AUGCUGAUGAAGGUACGUUGUCCUCCUCAUUUUAUUCUGACAUGCUGCCCAGCGUGUCCAGCAGGGGGCAGACGUUUUUACACCUGUAUCGGUUCUUUUGCUGCAGUCAAAUCAAACGUCCAACCUGCCAAGGAGGCUGCUGAGUCCAGGCCAGAACCAGCUCCCAGAUCCAAACCACACUGUAUCACCCCCAGGCCACCCUCACCCCAAGGAUCAAAGCCCCCAGUGGAACCAGACGGUCCCACUGGUUCCUUAGGUCCCACCAGUCCCAUCAGUUCCUCUGGUUCCACCAGUGUCGCCAGUCCCACCUGUCCCACCGGUUCCACCAGUCCCACCAGUCCCACUGGUCCCACUGGUUCCUCCGAUCCCAGCAGUCCCAGCAGUCCCACUGGUCCCACUGGUUCCUCCGAUCCCAGCAGUCCCACCAGUCCCACUGGUCCCACUGGUCCCACUGGUUCCUCCGAUCCCAGCAGUCCCAUCGGUUCCCGGCCGAGCAGCGCCUACAUCAGCGGUGAUUCUGCAGAGGCUCCUGCUAAAGCGCCACUUCCUCCUCCUCGUCUGAAGAGGGCGCCAUCAGGACAGGAUGUGGAGAGCCUCAGCAGCAGCCCUGCGGGACAGGACGGUUGGUGUCUUUACCGUCUUCUCAAUACAAUUAGCAUUUGUAUAAAGUUGUAAAUGUUUCCAACAAAACUUCUUCAGAAGUCUGUUUUUCAUCUUUUUAGAAUAUUACUGUAAAGUAAGUUUCAGAUAUCAUUUCUGCAGGUAGAAACCUUAAGACAAAAGGAAGAAAAUGGAACAUUUAUUGUUUAUUUCAGAUCGGGAUAGUUCUUUUCUACAUUCAGAUGUUUGUCCAGAAGGUGGCGCCAUAACGGAGCCGCUCAGUCCCGUGUUUGCGGGCAGCAGACGGUGGUCGUCUCUGAAGAGAUCGUCCCUUUCUGCUGCUGCGACUGACAGUCGAGAACGAGCCAAGUCCCUCCCCACAUACGGUACGUACGGAGGACUCGGGAGCGGUCCCGGUAUGGGCACCUGUGGAACCCCCGCUAGGUUGGGGUUCUUUUUCAAUCUUUUUGUUUGUGGUUUUUGAUGGCAGUGAUUCGUCCAGAAUCAGAUCUGGAUGAGGGGGAGGAGCUUCUGCCACCGACUGACAGCAAAUCAGAGGACGAAUGCGAGGACGACUGCGAGGACGUUUUGUCAGCCUGAGGAACCAAACGAGCCGCAGUCGGGUGUCGUAGGCGGACCUUCAUUAACCCAUGACCUUUCAGGAUCUGGAGCAUUCUACUGUCAGAAAAUAAGCAAACAUGAAAGUUAAGCUCAGGAUUUUCAAUAAUAAUCAGAUUUUAACGAAAAAUGUGCAAAGUUUGCUGAAACCCGUGGACUCGUCCAUCAGGGUCAUGUGACCGGCUGAUGAGUGGUGUGCUGCUGCACUUCCUGGUGUAUAAAUAUGUUUGAAGCUGAGGUUCUUUUUUUUAACUAAAUAGGAUUUGUAUCGAUCGCUGCAACCUGAGCAGAAAUAUACAGGUGACGGUUUUUAUUCUGGAUGCUUUUGACAUUUGUUUGGGCCAGUUUCUGAAAUCCUGCUUAUUGUUCCUGUUGUAUUUUUUUUUACCGCUAUUAAAAGAAUUAGACUCCUCAGAAUCUCGUGCAAAGCUGUUUUUAUCUGAAACUGAGGCUUCAGCCAGGAUUCCACCUGCCGACAGCUGGGCCAGGGUCCUGGUGUGACUGGAGGGGGACCAGAACCGGCAGCUGAGGUCAGAAUGCUGCAGAUUGGGGUUGGCGUGACAACAGACACCAUGUCAUUCAUAGGACAUCCUAGUAGGAGUGGUUUUCUCCAGCUUCCACACCUGUGUCGGCCCUGGCAGCCACCUGCGCUCUGAUUGGAGGACAUGAGGUGGUCCAGCUCUGAUCAGAACUGCAUCCAAGCUCUUCACAUGGUGGACUUGGCAGCUCCUGAUGCUUUUAGAGGAUUAAUCAACCAAAAGUCCCAUCAUGCAUCACAGGCAAUGAGGACCGUGGGGUGGCAGCGCCGCCUCCGUCAGCUCAGAUCAUGUGAUCAGCAGAAAGCGCUGACAUCAGCGACCUUCACCUUCAUCCUCCGCUAGAUGUCUGCAAUUCUUCAAAGCUGAACAUUUCCUUCCUUUCAUGUGCUUUGAUCUUAUUUCCGACCUAAUUCUGGGUCAUGCGCUCUGAUCAGGUUCCUCCUGUCUGUCCAUUGUUCUGAUUGGUCGACGGGGGACAGCCAACAACAGUGGUGAACGGUGAGAAGGAAGCAGCCAUUCUCCUCCACUGUGGAUCAAAUUCCUUAACUUUCCUCAGUUCUUCGGAACUUUCCUGCUUUUUAUCCGCCUACUUGCUUUCCUGGAAGGUCAGAGGUCCAGACGAGAUGCCGCAGAAAGCCAACAGACCUUUCUUGUCCUCCACGUAGAUGAUUCACCUGUGGAGGAGCAGCAGGAUGAGUGGAGGUCGUGGAGGAGGUGAAGUGGUGAAGCUGCAGCUGCAGUGCUGAGGUGGCAGGUAACAUCUGCCACAUCAGCAAGAAUCUGACAGAGAUCCAUGAUGGGAGAGAGGGAUGGAGGGAUGAAGAGAGGACAGACGGGCUGGUUAUACUGGGACAGAGGACAGACGGGCUGGUUAUACUGGGAUGGAGAGGACAGAUGGGCUGGUUAUACUGGGACAGAGGACAGAUAGGCUGGUUAUACUGGGACAGAGGACAGAUGGGCUGGUUAUACUGGGACAGAGGACAGACGGGCUGGU
ensembl:lncRNA